rnacentral:rRNA from 1 species
UACGUAGGGUGCGAGCGUUGUCCGGAAUUAUUGGGCGUAAAGAGCUCGUAGGCGGUCUGUCGCGUCGGCUGUGAAAACUCGGGGCUCAACCCCGAGCCUGCAGUCGAUACGGGCAGACUAGAGUGCGGUAGGGGAGACUGGAAUUCCUGGUGUAGCGGUGAAAUGCGCAGAUAUCAGGAGGAACACCGGUGGCGAAGGCGGGUCUCUGGGCCGUAACUGACGCUGAGGAGCGAAAGCGUGGGGAGCGAACAGGA